rnacentral:misc_RNA from 1 species
AACUUUUAACAACGGAUCACUUGGCUCUAGCAUCGAUGAAGAACGCAGCGAAUUGCGAUAAGUAAUGUGAAUUGCAGAUUUUCAGUGAAUCAUCGAAUCUUUGAACGCACCUUUCGCCCCUUGGCUAUUCCGAGGGGCAUGCCUGUUUGAGUAUCAUUAACACCUUAACUCUGCUGGUUUGCUGUGAUGAGCUUGGACUCUGGGGGUUUUGCUGGCCUGUGGUCAGCUCCCCUCAAAUGAAUCAGCCUCCCAGUGUUUGGUGGCAUAACGGGUGUGAUAAAUAUCUAUGCUCGUGGUUGUCUGCCAGGUAACCUUUGGUGACAAAGGUUUGCUGGAGCGCACAGAUGUCUCUCCUCAGCGAGGACAGCUUUUUGAACGUUCGAUCUCAAAUCAGGUAGGACUACCCGCUGAACUUAAGCAUAUCAAUAAGCGGAGGCU